rnacentral:misc_RNA from 1 species
UACCCCCAACAAAUUGCAAGAUCUCAAACCCAACUUCUGCAAUCUCUUUCUUUUUUCUACCGGAUGACUUCUGGUUUUCCAACACACUGACAGAAUUUCCUAGACCAUCAAUGGUGGCCUCGACAACAUUUUUGGAAUUCAAUGCCGAUGCCUGUAUUGAUUCAAUGACACUGAUAUAAUUUUCCAAAUCAACUAAGUCAAUCUCUUUAGUAUCAAUAGCUCUUUGUAUAGCAUUCUUCAAAUCAUUAAAUUUAGCACAAAACCCGUCAAAAACCCCAACCAAACUCCUCAAUCUCUCAGCAUACAACCUAAAGUUUUCAUCUUUUGCCCUCUUCUUACUUGCAUUCACACUAAAUUCAUUGAAACUCCCACCACGGAAAAACCCAACUGAAAACCCAAUAGCAAAAAUCAAUACAGAAGCAGGAAAUACGAUAAUUGACGAAACCCUAACCCUAGAAAUGGCAAAAGCGCAGAAAAUCCCCAAUAUAAACAUAAAAACAUGUUUUUUCUCAUCAAUUCCUCCAGAAACCAGAAAAUCACGAAGCAGAGUUGACUCACCCGAGCUGACCANNNNNNCCGAGCUGACCAAAUCACCGCCGAGUCUCAGAUCGUCCCAACCACCAUAAUUGACUGAAUUAGAGGUGACAGGCGAAUUGAUGGAGGAGCAGUUGGUGGGUUUGGGAAUGAAGAGAGAUUUUUCCUGGGAAACAUGAAUGGAUUUUUUACUUCCCCGUGAAAGUGAUGGAAAGUGAAAAAUAAAAUUUGAAGGGGAUGAUUGGAAAUUUGUGUAGCUAAUUGGAUCUGCCAAAAUUAGAGUUUUCAUUGGAGAUUUAUUCGGUGAUGGAGCGGAGUUUCCUUUCUGCGUUACAUUAGCAGCAGAGAGCAUUCCCC